UACGGGGGGAGCAAGCGUUGUUCGGAUUUACUGGGCGUAAAGGGCGCGUAGGCGGUCAGCACAAGUCAGUUGUGAAAUCUCCGGGCUUAACUCGGAAAGGUCAACUGAUACUGUGCGACUAGAGUGCAGAAGGGGCGACUGGAAUUCUCGGUGUAGCGGUGAAAUGCGUAGAUAUCGAGAGGAACACCUGCGGCGAAGGCGGGUUGCUGGGCUGACACUGACGCUGAUGCGCGAAAACCAGGGGAGCGAACGGG
rnacentral:rRNA from 1 species